GAGAUUCUGUGCGCGUGCAUAUCAAUAAGCGGAGGAAAAGAAACUAACAAGGAUUCCCUUAGUAACGGCGAGUGAAGCGGGAAGAGCUCAAAUUUGAAAUCUUCAAGGUUUUACCUUGACGAAUUGUAGUUUAAAGAAGUGUUUUCUGUUGGAGUUUUGGUAAAAGUUCUUUGGAAUAGGACAUCAUAGAGGGUGAGAAUCCCGUAUUUGACCAUUAUUUCCAGCUGUGUGAUACACUUUCAAAGAGUCGGAUUGUUUGGGAAUGCAGUCCAAAAUGGGUGGUAAAUUUCAUCUAAAGCUAAAUAUUGGCGAGAGACCGAUAGCGAACAAGUACCGUGAGGGAAAGAUGAAAAGAACUUUGAAAAGAGAGUUAAACAGUACGUGAAAUUGUCAAAAGGGAAGCGUUUGACACCAGUGUUGUUUUCUCGAAAAUCAAUUAAAAAUGAUGGGAUUUUGUGUUGUAUUGACUUUAUCAGCUUUCUGCACUUUUUUCUUAUCUUUUUUAAUGCACUUUUCGUUUAACAAGUCAACAUCAAUUUCUUUUGUUGUAAAAGAGUCAUUGGAAGGUGGCUUUUUCUUCGGAAAAAGUGUUUAUAGCCUUUGGCUUCUGCAAUCGGAGAGAUUGAGGUCUGCAGCGUAGAUCCUUCGGGGUUAGAUACAUUUGUGCUAAGCUAUAGUUCUUUAUAGACAACUUGUUGACUAUAAUCAAUCCUGUAACUUACUCGCUUAUGCUAUUUUACCUACGCUUAGGAUGUUGAUCUGUAGUGCGUGCGC
rnacentral:rRNA from 1 species